GACGAACGCUGGCGGCGUGCUUAACACAUGCAAGUCGAACGGAAAGGCCCUGCUUUUGUGGGGUGCUCGAGUGGCGAACGGGUGAGUAACACGUGAGUAACCUGCCCUUGACUUUGGGAUAACUUCAGGAAACUGGGGCUAAUACCGGAUAGGAGCUCCUGCUGCAUGGUGGGGGUUGGAAAGUUUCGGCGGUUGGGGAUGGACUCGCGGCUUAUCAGCUUGUUGGUGGGGUAGUGGCUUACCAAGGCUUUGACGGGUAGCCGGCCUGAGAGGGUGACCGGCCACAUUGGGACUGAGAUACGGCCCAGACUCCUACGGGAGGCAGCAGUGGGGAAUAUUGCACAAUGGGCGGAAGCCUGAUGCAGCAACGCCGCGUGCGGGAUGACGGCCUUCGGGUUGUAAACCGCUUUCGCCUGUGACGAAGCGUGAGUGACGGUAAUGGGUAAAGAAGCACCGGCUAACUACGUGCCAGCAGCCGCGGUGAUACGUAGGGUGCGAGCGUUGUCCGGAUUUAUUGGGCGUAAAGGGCUCGUAGGUGGUUGAUCGCGUCGGAAGUGUAAUCUUGGGGCUUAACCCUGAGCGUGCUUUCGAUACGGGUUGACUUGAGGAAGGUAGGGGAGAAUGGAAUUCCUGGUGGAGCGGUGGAAUGCGCAGAUAACAGGAGGAACACCAGUGGCGAAGGCGGUUCUCUGGGCCUUUCCUGACGCUGAGGAGCGAAAGCGUGGGGAGCGAACAGGCUUAGGUACCCUGGUAGUCCACGCUGUAAACGGUGGGUACUAGGUGUGGGGUCCAUUCCACGGGUUCCGUGCCGUAGCUAACGCUUUAAGUACCCCGCCUGGGGAGUACGGCCGCAAGGCUAAAACUCAAAGGAAUUGACGGGGCCCCGCACAAGCGGCGGAGCAUGCGGAUUAAUUCGAUGCAACGCGUAGAACCUUACCUGGGUUUGACAUGGAUCGGGAGUGCUCAGAGAUGGGUGUGCCUCUUUUGGGGUCGGUUCACAGGUGGUGCAUGGCUGUCGUCAGCUCGUGUCGUGAGAUGUUGGGUUAAGUCCCGCAACGAGCGCAACCCUUGUUCACUGUUGCCAGCACGUUAUGGUGGGGACUCAGUGGAGACCGCCGGGGUCAACUCGGAGGAAGGUGGGGAUGACGUCAAGUCAUCAUGCCCCUUAUGUCCAGGGCUUCACGCAUGCUACAAUGGCUGGUACAGAGAGUGGCGAGCCUGUGAGGGUGAGCGAAUCUCGGAAAGCCGGUCUCAGUUCGGAUUGGGGUCUGCAACUCGACCUCAUGAAGUCGGAGUCGCUAGUAAUCGCAGAUCAGCAACGCUGCGGUGAAUACGUUCCCGGG
rnacentral:rRNA from 1 species